GACGAACGCUGGCGGCGUGCUUAACACAUGCAAGUCGAGCGGUAAGGCCCUUUCGGGGGUACACGAGCGGCGAACGGGUGAGUAACACGUGGGUGACCUGCCCUCAGCUCUGGGAUAAGCCUGGGAAACCGGGUCUAAUACCGGAUAUGACUCCAUGACGCAUGUUGGUGGGGUGGAAAGCCUUGUGCGGCUGAGGAGUGGGCCCGCGGCCUAUCAGCUUGUUGGGUGGGGUGANGGCCUACCAAGGCGACGACGGGUAGCCGGCCUGAGAGGGCGACCGGCCACACUGGGACUGAGACACGGGCCCAGA
rnacentral:rRNA from 1 species